GUACUGUAUAUUUUUCCUCCAGGUCUCAGAAGACAAGCACUGACUGGAGCCACAGAUAUAGCAGAAGACACUGUUCCUAGGAAUGGGAUUCCUCUGCACCAGUUACUUUAAUCAGCCAGUUUGAGCUAGAGAUAUACAUCUAUAUAUGCAUAGGGCGAGUGGCAGCACCACCGAUGUGGCAAACACGGAAACUGGCACAGCCUGGGCACUGUGUCCCCCCUGCUUCACAGGCACUUGAACCAUUGCUUCUGGAGAAAUGCACAGGUAGACUCCUGCUUAGUAACUAAGCAACCACAUCCUCCAUUUCUAACUCACACAUUUUGAUCCUACCAGAGGAUUUGCUUUGGCAAAGUUUACAUUGAAUCAAUUGUAGAUCUGCAGUUCAAGACUGAAAUGUGCUUGUUAUAAAAUCAUGAAUUAAAUACUUCAGAGAAUAAUUGGAG
rnacentral:lncRNA from 1 species